rnacentral:rRNA from 1 species
AUUGAACGCUGGCGGCAGGCCUAACACAUGCAAGUCGAACGAGUGGCGGACGGGUGAGUAAUGUCUGGGAACCUGCCUGAUGGCGGGGGAUAACUACUGGAAACGGUAGCUAAUACCGCAUACCAUCAGAUGUGCCCAUAUGGGAUUAGCUUGUUGGUGGGGUAACGGCUCACCAAGGCGACGAUCCCGAGCUGGUUUGAGAGGAUGACCAGCCACACUGGACAUGAGACACGGUCCAGACUCCUACGGGAGGCAGCAGUGGGUAAUAUUGCACAAUGGGCUCAACCCUGAUGCAGCCAUCCCGCGUGUAUGAAGAAGGCCUGCGGGUUGUAAAGUACUUUUAGCAGGGAAGCGUUACCCGCAGAAGAAGCACCGGCUAACUCCGUGCCAGCAGCCGCGGUAAUUC